GAUUAACGCUGGCGGCGUGCCUAACACAUGCAAGUCGAGCGGCAGCGAGUUUUACACUGAAUUCUGGAAGCUUCUAGUUGAAAGAGAAGAUUUAUUCAAGAAUUUUGUGUAAAAUGUCGGCGAGCGGCGGACGGCUGAGUAACGCGUGGGAACGUACCCCAAAGUGAGGGAUAACGCAUCGAAAGGUGUGCUAAUACCGCAUAUGGUCUUCGGAUUAAAGCCUUCGGGCGCUUUGGGAACGGCCUGCGUAAGAUUAGAUAGUUGGUGGGGUAAUGGCCUACCAAGUCGACGAUCUUUAACUGGUUUGAGAGGAUGAUCAGUCAGACUGGAACUGAGACACGGUCCAGACUCCUACGGGAGGCAGCAGUGAGGAAUCUUCCACAAUGGGCGAAAGCCUGAUGGAGCAACGCCGCGUGCAGGAUGAAGGCCUUCGGGUUGUAAACUGCUUUUAUAAGUGAGGAUUAUGACAGCAACUUAUGAAUAAGGAUCGGCUAACUACGUG
rnacentral:rRNA from 1 species